UACGUAGGGGGCUAGCGUUGUCCGGAAUCAUUGGGCGUAAAGAGCGUGUAGGCGGUCCGGUAAGUCCGCUGUGAAAGUCGGGGGGCUCAACCCUCGAAUGCCGGUGGAUACUGUCGGACUAGAGUACGGAAGAGGCGAGUGGAAUUCCUGGUGUAGCGGUGAAAUGCGCAGAUAUCAGGAGGAACACCAAUUGCGAAGGCAGCUCACUACACAAAGAUUGACACUGAGGCACGAAAAGCGUGGGGAGUCAAAACAGG
rnacentral:rRNA from 1 species